GAUCCCUUUGGGAUGUUUCUGUUUAAGACAGGGGACACUUACACAUUAGGAAACUGGAGUCAUGUCGGUGGAGGAGAAAGUGGCUGUAGAAAAGGUAACGGACAAGAAAUCCCUCACUGGCUUAGCUGUAAAGGUCAGAGGAAAAUCAUCUUCUGUUCUCCAUACACAUCUCCUGUAAUUAGGCACCUGUGCCCUUUAAAAAAGUAAAGUAAUCAAAGAGUCAUUUGGUGAAAAUAGAAGCCAAACAGUUACAAAAUUUAGUUAAUAUUCAAAGACAAAACAACUCUGGUUCCAAAUAUAAAACCCUUUGUGUAAACACUGCGGGAAGGUGCCAAAGAGCCACCUACACAAAGAGAUGCCACAGAGUAAUUUGCGUACCCCAACAAUAGGAUCAUAUAUGGGCAAACCAAAAGACCAACAAAGACCCCUUGCAAUAAUCCCUUGAUUGGCAGAAGCAAGUGCAGCGUUAGAUUUAGUAUGUGUGACAAUUCUGAGAAUAGGAAGGAAUUUCACUGAAACUGUGUGAAGAUUUGUAUGUUAAAUACAUAUAAUGAGGGUUAUUUAGCUCUGGGGUGUGCAUGCUAUGUGGAGAGAUCCCCAUGUGCCCAGCACUGCAAUAGACUAAUGUCAGCUUUUUAAACCAUCAUUUGGUUUGAAGAGUUUAUUAUGAUUUUCAGAAACAGAAUUAUGUAUUCAGUGUCUGUACAUUCUUACAAGCCUGCUGUUCUGUACACAUGAAAAAGCUACUUAUGGUGCAAAUCAGUAUAGAGAAGCAGUUUUGACAUACAGUGGUCAUGACUGGGUGAUCUGCUGUCAGAAGGUAAGACACUGGUAUACAGAAUUGCAAACGUGAGAUGAAGACCUCAAGUGCAACUCUGUCAUCAUACCACUUCUCUUGCUAUUAUCUAUUCAGUGUUUGUUCUAAAUAUUCAGGCAGAAGGCUUGGUUUCACAUCAGGUGUUACAUUUAAGUAUUCUUUGCCCAUUUUUUGCUGUUUGUAUGUGUAACUUCAGAUUCUCACAUUGACUGUGUAGUGUAAAUUUGCAAAUAGAUGUAACAGCUUCUCUUUAACAUCCCAUGCCAAACUUUUAAUCACUUUCAAUCAAUGUUGGAAAUCUGCAGUACAUAAAUUUUAUUUUGAUUCAUUAUUCAGAGAAUCAGAGAAAUAAGGACUUUUUUAGAGGUUUAUGUUUAUUUUAGAAAAUAUAAAUAA
ensembl:lncRNA